ACAAAAACGAUGAAGUACGAUUCUUUUAUUACCUUUUAGGAGUAUUAUUUUUGGACACAAACCAAAGCAAUUAUAUCACCUAAAUUAAAGAGGAGGGAAGAAUAUUUAGUACUAUUUUUUAUAAGUUAACAAAGAUACUUUUCGUUAAGGUUCAAUGUCCGAUUCGCAAAUCACAAUUAGGUAAAGUAGAUUGCUUUACUUUAGACAUAUUCUUGUUGUCCCAAAAAGUUCAUUAUUAAAUGGUGAAUAUAGCAGCCAUGGAAGCAUUCAUUUAUUGUGAAAUUGGCAAAGGCCAUGUGUCAACAACCAGACUUAGUUUCCUGUCUCCUUAGAACUCAAGGAUACAGUAGCAAUUUCCAGUAAAGUGUUCUGCCGAUGUGGGACAAGGAGCAACUACAGAAAACUUAGUGGUGUGUUUUCACCAACACCAUUCAGUAAGUUAAGCAGAGAGGUGUCUGCAAUACCAUGUGAAUCCUCAUUGUUCAUCUGCUUGCUAAUUUUGCUGUCAAACACUCUGGAUUUGGAUGCAAUAAGAAUAGAAAGAUCUGCAGAAGGUCACGUUGCUGGCUGCGGUACUAUGUAUCUACAGCAUGACACUUGAAUUUUCAAGAUCAAUUUAUAUAUUAUUGUUCUUCUGAUUUUUGUGUUGCAACACUAGUGUUUACUUCAUAGUUAUCCUGUAUAUUAAAAGAGAAUCAAAUAUAUGCUCCAUUGAUUUCUUUUCUCUAUUUCCAAACAGAAAUCUAAAGAAAGAACAAUGUCAUUUUAACUGAUUCUCCCACAUCACCAGGAGGGAAGAGAAGUGAAGCAAAAGAACUAGCAUAAAAUAUGGGCUGGGCACACAGAAUAACAUACUUACCUGGACGGGGUCAAUGGGUGAUCAAUAAGGCCCAUGGCCUAGGUUGGUGACCUCCAUUGCACACGUAGGAGGGGUGCCCGCUUAAGGUCGGCCCAAGUGGUCGAGCCUACGUUAUAAUUUGUGGCAGCGGGGGCCUGCGUUCGCGCAGCCCCUACCCAAUUCAAGUCUAAACUUUUUUCAGUCCAUUGAGAAAUUGGUCCACUUGUUUAUUCUGACGUUGUAUUUUAAUGGAAAUUCCAAUAAUAUGUUGCGUGGCAGCGGGGGCCUGCGUUCGCGCGGCCCCUACCCAAUUCAAGUCUAAACUUUUUUCAGUCCAUUGAGAAAUUGGUCCACUUGUUUAUUCUGACGUUGUAUUUUAAUGGAAAUUCCAAUAAUA